GCAAUUUUCAUCUAGGCAUUCAGGAAAUGGAACAGGAUUAGAUCUACAGAAAAUACAACUGCAGAAGUCUUGCCAGAACAGCAUGUUGCUUCCUCCACCAUCCUGUCAAAGUCACGUCUGAUGAGGAUGAAUACUCUGUACCACCCUGACCUACCUGUUAGGAGGACGGAUUCUGAACUGGAUGAUUAUGGACACUGAUUUUCUUUCCUCUUCAAAAUUACUGUCUCCAAACUAAGAGAUUCAAAGAGGCUGGAACCUACCUCUCCUGCUGACUGUGAAUGAAGACUGCAGUAUAUUCAGCUACAAGUCCAUCUGCUCUUUAACUUUUUUUUUUUUUUUUUAAUUCUAUCUAAGAGUGUUUUUCCUUUGAAGUUUCCAGCACCAUUUAUGAAGGCUCAAAAGGAGUAUUAUUCAUAUGUUUCAGAUGAGGAAAGCUGAACUGUCAAAGUAACAUCUGACUUGUGAGUAGCCAGUAUUCUCCAAGGCAUCAGCAUUUAAGAGGACCUGAGAAAAGAUCCUGUGCCUACCAGGAAAUUUCACUGAUCUCAUCAAGCCACAAAACUCAGGAAGGAGGAAAAAUCUGCACAAAUUAAGAAGUGCCCAGUAGAUCAUGCUGUCUUGUUGAAAACUCCAGUGGUAACUGGGCUUCUAUGGGAUUAUUUUUAGCAGUAAAAGAGUAGAUGGUGUAAGAUAAGUGAAGAGGGAUUCCAUAAAUAGCUGCAUUUCAAUUGCCUGUUUGACAUAAACUUAAUUGUUACAACAAACGGCACAAAAUGACAAAAAUGAACACCUUUCUACUCAGAAGAUAAACUGUUUUUAAAUAGAAAGGAAUGAAACCUAGGUCUAUCAUUUUUAGAAUCCCAGUGAACUAGAAUGGACAUGACUGGAGAAGCAGAGACACCUGAGCAGCUUUGAAGACAUUUCUCUGGCAUGUUCUCACUGACUCUGAGACCUAUUUCCAACCACAGUGUCUGCUCAUCCUAGUGCAGCACCCUUCAAACCUACCUUCCCCAAAGGAUUCAGCAGACAUGGUUGAGAAAAGAGCGAAGCACAAGCUGGAUCUACAGAGCCUCAGGAGGAAUCCCAGGCAAACAAUGCACUUGGGGGAAGACAUCUCAACAACAGCCAGAUCUGCUCUACUCUGCCCGCAGCCUUGGUAAGGCACAGCAUCACAGGAAGAGGAACGCGAAUUCCUGUGAGACAAGUACUGGUGCAGAGGAGGGGGGAAGACAAGACUUGAUCAUAUAAAGAAGAGUUAGGCAGGUUCCUAAGUAGAGCUGUGAGACAACAAGAGAGAGGCACAGUUGUGUUUUUAUGCACAGAAGGCCAGAGUUGAGUCUGGUUUCUUGAGGGUGAUGUCCUGGCAAGUACUCUGGCACACAUGCUGUAGUAUAGUGUUCCAGUGCAUCCGUACAUCCAUCUAUGCUGCAAAUGGCACGGGAGUGAGAUUUUAAUAAAAGAAGAAGGAAUGAAACCA
rnacentral:lncRNA from 1 species